rnacentral:rRNA from 1 species
ACGCUCGACACCUACGGAGGCAGCAGUGGGGAAUAUUGCACAAUGGAGGAAACUCUGAUGCAGCGAUGCCGCGUGAGGGAAGAAGGUUUUCGGAUUGUAAACCUCUGUCUUUGGGGACGAUAAUGACGGUACCCAAGGAGGAAGCUCCGGCUAACUACGUGCAAGCAGCCGCGGUAAUCUGAGCGGGCUGGCAAGGC